rnacentral:rRNA from 1 species
UGAACGCUGGCGGCGUGCUUAACACAUGCAAGUCGAACGAGAAAGCUCCUUCGGGAGUGAGUACAGUGGCGAACGGGUGCGUAACACGUUGGUGACCUGCCUUGAGGAGGGGGACAACCGUGGGAAACCACGGCUAAUACCCCGGAUGUCUAAACUGUUAGAGGGUUUAGACUAAAACUUCGGUGCCUCAAGAGGGGCCUGCGGGCUAUCAGCUUGUUGGUGGGGUAAUGGCCUACCAAUGCUAAGACGGCUAGGGGGCGUGAGAGCGCGACCCCCCACAAUGGAACUGAGACACGGUCCAUACUCCUACGGGAGGCAGCAGUGAGGAAUAUUGCGCAAUGGGGGAAACCCUGACGCAGCAACGCCGCGUGAACGAUGAAGGCCUUCGGGUCGUAAAGUUCUUUUCUAAGGGAAGAUAGUGACGGUACCUUAGGAAUAAGUCCCGGCUAACUACGUGCCAGCAGCCGCGGUAAAACGUAGGGGGCGAGCGUUAUCCGGAUUUAUUGGGCGUAAAGCGCACGUAGGUGGCGCUGUAAGUUAGACGUGAAAGCUCUCGGCUCAACUGAGAGAGGUCGUUUAAAACUGCAGUGCUUGAGGUUAGAAGAGGAGAGCAGAAUUCCCGGUGUAGUGGUGGAAUGCGUAGAUAUCGGGAGGAAUACCAGUGGCGAAGGCGGCUCUCUAGUCUACACCUGACACUGAGGUGCGAAAGCGUGGGUAGCGAACGGGAUUAGAUACCCCGGUAGUCCACGCUGUAAACGAUGGAUACUAGGUGUAGGGGGUCAUUUAACCCCUCUGUGCCGAAGCAAACGCGUUAAGUAUCCCGCCUGGGGACUACGGCCGCAAGGUUAAAACUCAAAGGAAUUGACGGGGGCCCGCACAAGCAGCGGAGCGUGUGGUUUAAUUCGAUGAUACGCGAAGAACCUUACCUGGGCUGAACUACGUGGUAGUAGUGAAGCGAAAGCGGAUCGACCCUUCGGGGAGCCUCGAUAGGUGCUGCAUGGCUGUCGUCAGCUCGUGUCGUGAGAUGUUGGGUUAAGUCCCGCAACGAGCGCAACCCUCGUCGCUAGUUACAAGUGUCUAGCGAGACUGCCGGUAUCAAACCGGAGGAAGGUGGGGAUGACGUCAAGUCAGCAUGGUCUUUAUGUCCAGGGCUACACACACGCUUACAAUGGGUCGGGUCCAAUAGGUUGCCCACACCGCGAGGUGGAGCUAAUCCUCAAAGCCGAUCUCAGUUCGGAUUGUAGUCUGCAACUCGACUACAUGAAGGCGGAGUUGCUAGUAACCGCGCGUCAGCAUAGUGCGGUGAAUGCGUUCCCGGGCAUUGUACACACCGCCCGUCACAUCAUGGGAGUCGGUAACACCUGAAGUCGGUGACCUAACCGAAAGGGGGGAGCUGCCUAAGGUGGGAUCGUAACUGGGAUGAAGUC